rnacentral:lncRNA from 1 species
CUUAGGCAGCAACCAUUUGAUUUUCUGGGGGGGGCUAUGGUUUUUUUUUCUGUACAAACUUUUUUUUUCGCCUGCGGCGAAAAACAAUCUAUUUUUUUCGCGACAAGUCGAAAACAAUUUUUUUCUUUCAAUUUUAUCAUUACAUAUAGUGGCAGCUGAGAGUGAAACAAACAAUUUUUUUUUCUCAGAAUCAAAAACAAAUUAUUUUUUUUCUCCAAAAACUGGAAACAAACUUUUUUUUCCAAAAAAAACCAU